AUGAACGCUGGCGGCGUGCUUAACACAUGCAAGUCGAACGGAAAGGCCCAAGCUUGCUUGGGUACUCGAGUGGCGAACGGGUGAGUAACACGUGGGUGAUCUGCCCUGCACUUCGGGAUAAGCCUGGGAAACUGGGUCUAAUACCGGAUAGGACAACUUCUGGGAUGUUGGGGUGGAAGGUUUUUUCGGUGUGGGAUGAGCUCGCGGCCUAUCAGCUUGUUGGUGGGGUAAUGGCCUACCAAGGCGUCGACGGGUAGCCGGCCUGAGAGGGUGUACGGCCACAUUGGGACUGAGAUACGGCCCAGACUCCUACGGGAGGCAGCAGUGGGGAAUAUUGCACAAUGGGCGCAAGCCUGAUGCAGCGACGCCGCGUGGGGGAUGACGGCCUUCGGGUUGUAAACUCCUUUCGCUAGGGACGAAGCGUUUUGUGACGGUACCUGGAGAAGAAGCACCGGCUAACUACGUG
rnacentral:rRNA from 1 species